AACGAACGCUGGCGGCAUGCCUAACACAUGCAAGUCGAACGAGACCUUCGGGUCUAGUGGCGCACGGGUGCGUAACGCGUGGGAACCUGCCCUUAGGUUCGGAAUAACUCCCCGAAAGGGGUGCUAAUACCGGAUAAUGUCUUCCGACCAAAGAUUUAUCGCCUUUGGAUGGGCCCGCGUUGGAUUAGCUAGUUGGUAGGGUAAAAGCCUACCAAGGCGACGAUCCAUAGCUGGUUGGAGAGGAUGAUCAGCCACACUGGGACUGGGACACGGCCCAGACUCCUACGGAAGGCAGCAGUGGGGAAUAUUGGACAAUGGGCGAAAGCCUGAUCCAGCAAUGCCGCGUGAGUGAUGAAGGCCUUAGGGUUGUAAAGCUCUUUUACCCGGGAUGAUAAUGACAGUACCGGGAGAAUAAGCUCCGGCUAACUCCGUG
rnacentral:rRNA from 1 species